rnacentral:lncRNA from 1 species
GAAGCCGAUUCAUCCGGUAGGAACCCAGGGAGCCGCACUGAGAACCAGGUCGCCACGGGACUGAGCAGAACGCAGUGCCAGGCUGAGAUAUGAGGAAAAUGAAGAUUCUACUGAGUAUCACAAUGUUGGCCAUCUUAUACACCGACUUCGUCCCUGUGUUUAAUGGGAACGUAUCAUCUGCUUUGAAUAAUACCAACAUAAUCCGAUUGAGGGGGCUGGACACGGAGACUACAACAAGUUUAGUACGCCUCCAGUGUCACGUGUGCAUGGGAGACUUCCAGUGCCAAGCACCACAGACAUGUGCCCCUACCGAAAAAUUCUGCAUGAUCGCUCAGACCGAUAAAAACGAGUACAACGUAAUCAAGUACUGUGCAGAAACGUGCCCGUAUAUGGAGCGAUUCCAUGGAAGAAGUGAAGGUGACGGGUACCUUGCCUGCUGUGCCCAAGACUUAUGCAAUUAUAAAAGACUGGGGAGCGGGCACAGAGCGCUCUGUGCUAGUGUCCAAGCGGUGGCAAUGGCAUUCAUAGCGAGCUUCUUCGGGACUCUCAGGGUCAGACCAGGAGAUGCUGGGAUAGAACUGUGACCUCUGAGACCCUGCCCACGCCACGUCCCUCUCAGUAAGAAAUUCUCACCCAUGUCUUCUGGAAAAGAGCUACCCGGGGCCCUGGAAGCCUUUCCCAUAGCUCCUGAGAGCCAGCAUAGGAGCCCUUCCCUGGCUUAUGUUCUUUAUGUUUCUUUGAGAUGUUUGGAAAGUGUUAUAUAAAUGCUCACUGGUAUGAUUAAUAGUAACGAUAAUAAUAAGAAGAAUUUCCAUUGCAUUUUCAUCCUUAUUUCUUGUGGGGGGCAUGUGUCUUUUUUUCUCUCAAAAUGUGAUACUCUAGGACUCAAAGUCUUGGAGCAUACCUGGGAAAUUCUUAUCAAACAAGAUGCUGGAAGGAAAACGCCUUUGUAACCAAUGCUAGCCAUUAUUAGCUAUAAGAUUGCAAGCUCUGUGAGGGCAGGAAAUAUAUCUCAGCUCAGUUUUCUACCUCCCCUAACGCCCAACACGGUAACCUUCACAAAGCAGGUUCUCAAUAAAUGUGUUGAAUUAUAUUGAACA